rnacentral:rRNA from 1 species
GACGAACGCUGGCGGCGUGCCUAACACAUGCAAGUCGAGCGGGGUUGAGGCGAGAGGUAACUCGAGCUUCUACCUAGCGGCGGACGGGUGAGUAACGCGUGGGCAACCUGCCUCAAGGUUUGGGAUAACAGCCCGAAAGGGCUGCUAAUACCGGAUAUGCCUAUGGCCUCGCAUGGGGCUAUGAGCAAAGGGGAAACCCGCCUUGAGAUGGGCCCGCGUCCCAUCAGCUAGUUGGUGAGGUAACAGCUCACCAAGGCGACGACGGGUAGCCGGCUUGAGAGGGUGACCGGCCACACUGGGACUGAGACACGGCCCAGACUCCUACGGGGGGCAGCAGUGGGGGAUCUUGCACAAUGGGCGAAAGCCUGAUGCAGCGACGCCGCGUGAGCGAAGAAGGCCUUCGGUUGUAAAGCUCUGUCUGGAGGGACGAACAAAAUGACGGUACCUCCGGAGGAAGCCACGGCUAACUACGUGCCAGCAGCCGCGGUAAACGUGU